UAAGAGUGAAGCAAUUAUGCAUUCAGUUUCGACCUGAACCAAUGGACACCCCACUCUUAU
rnacentral:tRNA from 1 species